UCCGUAGGUGAACCUGCGGAAGGAUCAUUACCGAGUUUUCGGGCUUCGGCUCGACUCUCCCACCCUUUGUGAACGUACCUCUGUUGCUUUGGCGGCUCCGGCCGCCAAAGGACCUCCAAACUCCAGUCAGUAAACGCAGACGUCUGAUAAACAAGUUAAUAAACUAAAACUUUCAACAACGGAUCUCUUGGUUCUGGCAUCGAUGAAGAACGCAGCGAAAUGCGAUAAGUAAUGUGAAUUGCAGAAUUCAGUGAAUCAUCGAAUCUUUGAACGCACAUUGCGCCCCUUGGUAUUCCGGGGGGCAUGCCUGUUCGAGCGUCAUUACAACCCUCAAGCUCUGCUUGGAAUUGGGCACCGUCCUCACUGCGGACGCGCCUCGAAGACCUCGGCGGUGGCUGUUCAGCCCUCAAGCGUAGUAGAAUACACCUCGCUUUGGAGUGGUUGGCGUCGCCCGCCGGACGAACCUUCUGAACUUUUCUCAAGGUUGACCUCGGAUCAGGUAGGGAUACCCGCUGAACUUAAGCAUAUCAAUAAGCGGAGGA
rnacentral:rRNA from 1 species